AUGGUGGGGCGGACGCGCAUCUCUACGACGACACGCCGCCAUCCCAGCGCUCCUCGACUCCCCAAGCGCCUCCUCGCCCUCCUCUCGCAGGGAUUCUACAUCGCCCACCUCUUCCCGCAGGCCAUGGUUCUUCCAUCCCACCCUUAUCUUCUCAAGGAAACACACAUCGGUAUUCUUCAUAUGGUGGCGGAUACCACAGUGGUAGUACAACAAAAAAGAUUGAUAUCCCAAAUGGAAGGUUGGUCUUAUCAUUGGAAAAGCUGGAGAAACUAUACAACAUAUCCAACUUUAGUCAGGGGCAAAGAUCCAAGUAACAAGGGACAUGGAUGUUCAACCUGGGUCACAGACAAGAUUGGUUGA
rnacentral:rRNA from 1 species